rnacentral:rRNA from 1 species
GAUGAACGCUAGCGGUGUGCCUAAUGCAUGCAAGUCGAACGGGAUCCUUUGGAUUCGUCUGAAGGUGAGAGUGGCGAACGGGUGAGUAACACGUAGGUGACCUGCCCCGGAGAGGGGGACAACCACUGGAAACGGUGGCUAAUACCCCAGAUGUUAUUGCGCUUAGAAAGCAAUUACUAAAGUUCCGGCGCUCCGGGAGGGGCCUGCGGCCCAUCAGCUUGUUGGUAAGGUAAUGGCUUACCAAGGCUAAGACGGGUAGGGGGCGUGAGAGCGUGACCCCCCACACUGGUACUGAGACACGGACCAGAUACCUGCGGGUAGCAGCAGCAAGGAAUAUUGCCCAAUGGACGAAAGUCUGAGGCAGCAACACCGCGUGGAGGAUGAAGGCC